GACGAACGCUGGCGGCGUGCUUAACACAUGCAAGUCGAAAGCUGAAGCUCAGCUUUUGUUGGGUGGAUGAGUGGCGAAAGGGUGAGUAACACGUGAGUAACCUGCCUCCUUCUUUGGGAUAACGCCCGGAAACGGGGGCUAAUACUGGAUAUUCACUGGUCUUCGGAUGGGGGGUGGUGGAAAGGGGUUUUCUGGUGGGGGAUGGGCUCGCGGCCUAUCAGCUUGUUGGGGGGGUGAUGGCCUACCAAGGCUUUGACGGGUAGCCGGCCUGAGAGGGUGACCGGUCACAUUGGGACUGAGAUACGGCCCAGACUCCUACGGGAGGCAGCAGUGGGGAAUAUUGCACAAUGGGCGCAAGCCUGAUGCAGCGACGCCGCGUGAGGGAUGGAGGCCUUCGGGUUGUGAACCUCUUUCGCUCAUGGUCAAGCCGCAACAAUGGUUGUGGUGAGGGUAGUGGGUAAAGAAGCGCCGGCUAACUACGUG
rnacentral:rRNA from 1 species